rnacentral:rRNA from 1 species
CGAACGGGUGAGUAAUGCUUAGGAAUCUGCCUAGUAGUGGGGGAUAACUAUCCGAAAGGAUAGCUAAUACCGCAUACGACCUACGGGUGAAAGGGGGCUUUUAGCUCUCGCUAUUAGAUGAGCCUAAGUCGGAUUAGCUAGUUGGUGGGGUAAAGGCCUACCAAGGCGACGAUCUGUAGCUGGUCUGAGAGGAUGAUCAGCCACACUGGGACUGAGACACGGCCCAGACUCCUACGGGAGGCAGCAGUGGGGAAUAUUGGACAAUGGGCGAAAGCCUGAUCCAGCCAUGCCGCGUGUGUGAAGAAGGCCUUUUGGUUGUAAAGCACUUUAAGUAGGGAGGAAAAGCUUGUGGUUAAUACCCACAAGCCCUGACGUUACCUACAGAAUAAGCACCGGCUAACUCUGUGCCAGCAGCCGCGGUAAUACAGAGGGUGCAAGCGUUAAUCGGAAUUACUGGGCGUAAAGCGAGCGUAGGUGGUCAUUUAAGUCAGAUGUGA